AGUGUUGGAGGUCUCGAAAGUUCACCUCCAGAUACUAGGUGGUCUCGUCUUGAGUAGUGUUAGAGUUUUUUUUGCCGCAAAAGUUGAACGGUGAUUUCCUUGGUUUCGCUUCUUAGUUUCGUCCCAAAACGCCGAAAAGGGGGCCACCAAUGUCGUGUCCCCAAAAGAAUCUGCCCAACUUAGAAUAGUGUCGAAGGUCUCGAAAGUUCACAUCCAGGUACUCGUGGUGUCGUCUCCAGUAGUGUUAGAGUUUUUAUGGCCUGCAAAAACCAAACGGUGAUGCUCAGGCUCUGCUUUUUAGUUUCGUCCCUAAACGUCGAAAAAGGGGCCACCAAUGUCGUGACCCUAAAGAAACUACCCAACCCAGAACAGUGUCGAAGGUGUCAAAAGUUCACAUCCACCUACUGAGUCGUCUCGUCUCGAGUAGUGUUAGUGUUUUUUUGCUUGCAAAAGCUGAACGGUGAUACCUAAGGCUCUUUUUUUUAGUUCAGUCCUAAAACACCGAAAGGGGGCCACCAAUACCGUGGCCUCCAAAGAAACUACCCAACCUAAAACAAUGUCGGAGGUCUCGAAAGUUCACAUCCAACUACUGGGUGGUCUCGUCUCGAGUAGUGUUAGAGUUUUAUUUGGACGCAAAAGUCGAACAGUGCUGUUUUAAGGUUCGCUUUUUAGUUCCGUUCCAAAACGCCAAAAAGGGGGGCUACCAAUGUCAUGUCCACGAAAGAAACAACCUAACCCAGAACAGUGUCGGAGGUCUCAAAAAUUCACAUCCAGCUACUUGGUUAUUUCCUUGGUUUCGCUUCUUAGUUUUGUCCCAAAACGUCGAAAAGGGGGCCACCAAUAACGUGGUCUCGAAAGAAACUAUCUAGCCCAUAACAGUGUCGGAGGUCUCGAAAGUUCACAUCCAGCUACUGGGUGGUCUCGUCUCGAGUAAUGUUAGAGUUUUAUUUGCCUGCCAAAGCCGAACGGUGAUGCCCUAGGGCCCACUCUUUAGUUCCGUCCCAAAACGUCGAAAAUGGGGCCAUCAAUGUCGUGGCCACCAAAGGUCCAGGUGACUAUUAUCUCAAACUUCCCUUUCAAGAUCUGACAACUCCCCAUCGCGGAGGCUAAUCUGCCUAGAGGAGUUCAGUAGUUGAAGAAGUGCUUUGUUUUUUCUCUUUCUUUAGAGUAUUAACUUAGUCGAUCACUCGAAGAGAAUUAGAUGGUAAGUUGUAUUGCCUACAGCUUUCAACCCUUUCUUCCAUAAUCUCCAGAACAAGAAACCCCAUAUUCAUCCCACCCCAAGGAAGGGAAGACCUAGUCGGCAGAACAAAAUAGGCCUCGUAGACCAAGGAAGAGUCUGAGGCUCAAGCCUCAUCCCUUGAAUAAGAGGAGGCGCAAAGAAUAUUGCGAAGAUUUUUGCUUUCUUUUGUGGUGCAAAGAAUAUUGCGAAACUUUCCAAGUCAAAAGAAGCCAGAGGAGACGAUAAAGGAGGGAGAGAGACUGACAUCAAGAUCAAGAGCAAGCCUUUCUUUUUCAAGUGUCGUUGCGGUGAGUUAUCGUGUAGUCUAUCGUGGCUUUUAACGAGCUGCUGAUGAAAAGACAAGAAGAAGAAAGCCUACCCUUGAACUGCGGAGUAUGAGUGAAAGGUUAGGCCUUACGAAAAAAUUCCCCGAUCGAAGAGCGCCUAACCGCUUGGGAUAGCCUAUGAACAUUGAUUCAGUCAAUCCUACCUCUCUCUCAAGUAAACUAGCUGAAGCAGUUCCAUUCCUCAAAAUAUGAGAAAGCUUCUCCGACUUGAGUUAGCUAGCUUUACCGUUUGUGACCUUGAAAAUAGGCUUUCAAUCGAUUAGAUAACCUCUUUAGUCGAGCUAGUCCCACUUACUAUGGCAAGAAAUAAGGAGCCCUUGCACUCCUCCUUAUUGUCCCACUCCGAGAACUAUGUUCGGAGUCUACUCUCCCCUCGAAAAGAGCCCACGUAGCAUCAACUCAUCUGGAGCUUGAUUUUCUCCACUCCUACUUACUCUAACCUCUUGAAGUAUAAUAACCUUCCUUUUAGAAAGUCUGGAAAGACGGAUGACUCCUACUGGUCAAUAUUUGGUCUAGUCGUCUGACUUUCCCCUUCUGAGCCUUAGCAAGUGAAAAGAAAGUGAGAAUUCCACAGAGAAGAUUAAGUUCAGGGGAGCGAGCAUCGAGGCUAAUCUCCUUCACUAUCUUAAAUGGGACAGGUCCUAUUCUUUCCUAAUAGUGCAUCACAUGCCUUUCUAGAUGAUAGAUGAGGAAAUCCUAAACUCCCGACUAGUCUCUAAUCCCAAGGAUGGAUAAUAUUCCACCUGAGAAAAGUCACCCAUGGGGCGGUGAAUUGGUCGUCUUUUAGCUUCUUACUCUACCCUAAGAUGGAAAAGAAAGCUCUUCUUCUUCAUGGUUUGAGGGCCUUUGGAUUGAUGGGACGGAAAGAGCAAAGUUCAGCAAGAUCCAUCAUCAAUAAAGAACACGAGGUCUACAAUCUUUAACAGAUGUCGCUCCCCUCUCGCCUUUACCUAGCCUAUGCUGAAUCGCUCCUCUUUAGACUCUUCUUUGCUCUUGGUCUGCGAGAUAGCAAGAUUGAAUGCUAGGUAGUCCUCUUUUUCACCCUUUGCCUAGGCCUAGACACCUAUGGAAGUGAGCCUUUACUCAUAAGAACCGCUACUGAUUACAUUCCGUCUAUCUUACCAGAAAGACUAUUUCAAGGAAUGCGGAAUGAAAAAAGAAUAAAAGCAUAUUCACUAGUACUCUCCAGCUGCUAUGGCACCAACCAUUCAUUCAAUCUCGAUUCCUUUUUGCUUCUCAAUUUCAUCGAGCUCUUGUCCAAUUCGUGCAAAGACUAGUUUACUAGUGUUAUUUCUACAAAACGAAUGUUCAGAUAAGAGAAACUUCAUCGAGAAAGAAAGCGAAAAUUUUCACUGGUUAAUAUGGAUAGUCCUUCAGACCUGUCUCGCAAUAUGCUUUGCGUCUUAUCCAUAGAUCUUUGCACCUUGCCUCUAAAUUAGAGUAAAAGGCAUAAAUAUAAAUCAUGAUGAUAAGGAAAAGUCAAAAUUUAUGAGAUCAAACUCAACCUCUGUGCUCAAAGGGGUAUGUACUGAUUCCCCACCUCGCCCAGAGGAAAAGAAGAAUGAAGGAAAGGUGCAAAGAGUUAUGCCUUCAAACUAAAAAAAGGCGAUCAAAAGGACAGGUCUUAUCUUUGUUCAUUGGUUCUUCCUACCAAGAAAAUUGAUCAGUCCCUAGAAUUAUAUUUCUUACUUGAUGAUGGAAGACUUGAAGCCUCAUUACUUGGAGUUGACUCCUUUGAAGCUACUAUAGAUGCUUUCGUUGAACCUUCUGAACCUGGGGUUUAUGGUAAGCUUUCCUUUCGCCCUAGGAGAAGGCUAUGUGGCUUUCUUUCUUUGUGUCUAGUAAGAGGAAAGCCGCCAAGGAAUAGGAAUCACUCAAUUCAUUCAACCUUAAGAAUCGCUUCACUUCAAGCCUUCGUAGCUUAAUAAUUCAUUCUUUCUCAAAUUCUUUGAUCAUCUUGAGCCAGCCGAUCUGGAGGACUUAAGGAUUCCGCUAAAGUUGCAAACGUUAAGAGUAUUAAGGCCACUCCAAAGGAGUCUUACCAAUAAUAUCCAUCUUGAUCCUUUAUAAAUAAAUUUCAGACGUUAGGCACAAAGAAUAUUGUGAGUCCGCUCCUCUUGAGUUUGAUUCCAAUAAUAUUUUUCAUGAUUCUUUAUAAAGCAGUUUCAAAUUUUUGAUGAAUUUUACAAUGAGCCUACCUUCCUCCCGUAGAUCAAUCUAUGAGCCUUAUGGUUGGGGCCUUUGUCCUUAUGGCAAGAGUUUCGUUUGUCCCUGCUAGUUCAUCCCUCUCCUUAAUAAAGAAAGAAGAGGAUAUUCACAACAAAUAAAGAAAAAAGAGCAGCUAAUACGGCUAAGAAAGUGCCACGCCCCGCUCCGAGCACCUGCUUGCUCAACCCGAGAUGUAGCGUGAAACCAACUGAUGUCAUUAUUCUUCUGAACAACAUUAAUUGACCCUAACUAUAACUUACUUCUAACAACCUAUAUGAAUUAAAACUUAUGUAGCAGAAACUAAGAGAAAUAACUUGAACAGCUUUUUAAACUUUAAACAGGUAGUCGAGGCUAAAUGCCAUUAAUUACAAACUUUACUUACAGACCAAACAAAAAUUAAACAACUUAAACUUAUGCAAACCAUGUACAUGAUAAGAUUAAAACCGACCCUUAAAAACUAACUAUCAACAAGUUUCACACUGCAAUCUGAAGACAACGGUCAGGUUCUCGAAUCACGACCUCUACCUGGAAAGUGAAAAAACAUUUUGAAAGGGUGAGCUAAAAAGGCCAGUGAGUGAUAGUUUUAUAAAACAAAUAUACUUUAAACAUUUCAGAAAUAUAACAUAAAGUCUUUAAGAAAUCUCCUUUAACUUAACACUUUAUAACAUUCAAAUACUUCUGUCAUAAACAAGAUAGCAGAGUGCCUUCUGUCAUACUAUCGCGUUAACCUCGAUUAAAUACUCGGUUAGGAUAGCAGAGAACUGAUCUUUUUAUUCCUGCCUGAACUCGGUCAAGAUAGUAGAGUACUGAUCAUAUUAUUCUUGCCUGAACUCGGUGGUAGCGACUAAGUGGUCAGCAUAGCUCUAUACCUCUACUGUGCACAUUGACCAUCGAGAACUCGAUAUAUAGAGUACCAUGAUUUUCUCUUUAAAAAAAAUUCUAUUGAGCUCAUGCUUUUUAUAAAUCAUUGCUUGUAAGUCUUAUAAAUACAUGCUUGCUAAAAAUGUUUCUAAACUCAUGUUAUAGAAUACUUUUUUAAAUAACAUGCAUUAAUAUUUUUCAUAAACAUAUUGAUAAAUAGAAAUAAGAUUCACUUAAAAGCCUACUUAAAUAAUAGCUCGAAAAACAUAUUAGAAUCAUUAUCAUUUUGCAAAUUAUAAGUUGAAAUAAUCGUAGUAAAUUUAUUUUUCACUCACUGAUCGCAGAUCAAACCCUUGGAAGAUAAGCUUGUCUAAUUUCCCCUUGUCUUGAAAUGACGGAAAACAACUCCAAUUAAUUCCCUUUUAUUCUAAAACAUCAAAUACAUCGCCAAAACUCUUAGAAAAACCUUCCUCAAACCAAAAUGCAUGCCCAACAUGCCAUGCUAAUUUCUUAAACUCGGCCACUGCCCAAAACCUCAUUCUCGGCCAUAACUCAGCUUCUUUAGAGCUUUAGAACUUAAAAUCCAGAACUCAAAUAAACAUAUAUCCUUCUACAAAGUUGUUGAAAAACGUCUUGUUAUUCAUACCUAAAAUUUUCAACUUCAGAUUCCAACGGAUGUACUCUACAGCCCUCUGGAAGUCCACAUUGUUCAGAACCACCAGUAUUCUGACCUUUCUUGCUUUCUACCGCCAAAACGCAACUCUCCGUUACUCAAAUUAAAUCAAAAACCCCAACUUAUAAAAUAGACUCAAAAUGAAAACUUUUAAGACUAAUUUCACUCAAAACACUCGAGUGGAUUGUGAGAAACUUAAUACUAAAUUUGGCCUAUUUAUAGAGUUCAUUGCAUGAGUACAAGUUGACACCUCAUCCUUGCUUAAAUUCACCUUAAACCUUCUUAGGGAACCUCCUACUUACUUUACACCUUAAAAUGCAUGCUAACAAGGUUUUACACCUCACUAAAACCUUAAACCGCUUGCCCUUAUCAUGCCACAUAGUUGUCCAAAACGCAUAGCUAACUUCCAAGGUCAUCUCACCUAGUUUCUCGCCCAAACUACAUAACCCAACUUAGAAAAGUUAUAACUUAAAAUCCAUAACUCUUUUGACAAAACUUUCUUCUACAAAGUUUCUCUAAAUGUGUUUUCUUCCCUAAAAAAUUUUUCCUGAAAUUUUGAGGGAAGAAAACGCCAAACGAUGCGUUCUGUAGCGUUCUAAGAGUGUAGCUUGCUCAGAUUCACUCGCAAACUGACCCUCUUGCCUUCUUUUGUCCAAACGUCAACUUUCUCAUAUCCAAAACGCCCAGCAACCUUCUUCAAUAAACUAGACUCAAAUUAUGAAUUUUCAAGUCUAGAUUGAGUGUAAUUUUCCGAGUUGUGAGAAACUCCUUUCUGAAGUUAGCUAAAACACCUAACCUCUUUAAUCCUUCUUUCUUGCCAACCUUAAACACUCAAAACCCUUUCUAACCUCUAAAACCAUUUUGCCAAGUCAACCCAAUACGCCUAAAAAGUACUAUUCUUUGAUAUUGAACCAAAAACUUUCCUUCUUUCAAACCUCUUAAACUCUUUGAAAAAGACUACACUACCCAAAGUUUGGGUCUUACAUAAAGAAAGAAGAAGAUAGACUCAAGAUAUAAAAAUAAGGAAGUUAAUCAUCUCGAAAGAAAAGAUAUAAGGAGAAUUUCAUUUUGAUGCCUCUUGAUCUUUAACUCAUCUUCGCUAUUCCUUUCUACCUCUUUCCCCUUUAUGUGGAAAGACCUGGUUGGAUAGCCAUAGGUCCAAGGUUUCUAGUCUUUUUACUAGUUUGGAAAAGCCAACUAAUUCAGUUUAGUAGAGGUGUAAAACGGAGAUUGCUUGAGUUCGACGAAUGAAAGAGAGCUCGUACCCGCAGCUUUUCCUUGAUUCUGCACUCUUGUGGGUAAUAGGCUUUCCUUCCUUGUCGUAGGUUCCUUUUGUUGGGACUUUUUCCUUCCCUCCUUCUUACUUGUUCAUCAUACCAUAGUAAUAAGAAUUUCUUAGAAAUAAGCUACUUUCUCUCCUUCAACUACUGAUCAAUUAGAACCUCGCGUCUGCACGCACCUUGUUUUUAGGACUUUAGGAAAUGGAAGAAUGUCAAAUCGAAUAAUUUGACUUUAUGUACACUAAGACAAGUGAAUGGGUGUCUGUCUUUUAGCUUUUCUUGAUAUACAUGAAUAUAGGACAACCAUAGAGUAUAUGAGAUUAGGGGAAGAUUCUUGAGACCUCAACCUUUGCCGCGACUGUCAAUAUUCUUUGAACCUCUUUUCCUUGCCUUUGUCUCGUUAGUUUGGGAAUCAGGAAGAAGCUAAGCAAGGCAUGAAGAAAUUAUUAACCAUUCUAGACGUCAUUCAGGUUGGAUGCCAAAUACGAGAAAACCUUUCUGAAGAGUAUGAAUGUGAAAUUCUCAUAAGCAAUGAGAUAGCCACUAGCUUAACCACCAUGAGCCACACCCCAUGGGCGAUCGUACCCCUUCAGUUCUUUUUCAACCUCAAAAAAUUGAGUGAAGCAUCAAAAUGAAAUUCUUUCACUUCGUUUUCAUCUAUUUUCUAGAGAGCUUUACAAAUAAGGUCUUCAACGCAGAACCUAAUUACAAACUGGUACAAUUGUCUUUCUGUAAGAAGGUAUCAUGUCCAUUUAUCACAAGAGAUCGACUUAGAAGUUCAAAUGCACUUAAAUAAUGAGAAGGAUCAUUAUGGGUAGUGCCAAGAGGCACAAUUCAAUAUGCGUGAGAAGCGCAUUUAAGAAAAAAGGUUUGAGGAGGAGGGGAGAUCCAGAUACUCGUUGGAGACUCCAACCAGCACGAUUAGUUGUCUUCCUGCUCUCAAAAGUCUACCUGGAAAUAAAAGGAAGUUUCAGAAACUUUAGGAUGAAAGGCAUAGGAAGGCGUAGGAGCGAGGGAGUCAAAACCUUGCAUUUCUGAAUUUGAGCUAAUACCUACGGUAUUUCGACCAUUAUUUCUCCUUUUAAGCCACUUAUCUAAUAACCUCAUGAAUGAAAGAGUGAUCCAUCCUUAGCAAGAAGAGCUGAAACUGGGAAUGAAUAAAAGGAAAUAAGAAGGAAUGAGGCUUCCUGCUCCAAAAGAAGACGGUAAAGCUUUUGGUCUCGCCUUUUCUCCUCUGCCUUUCUUUUGCACUCCUUUCAAAGUCACUGAUUAUUAUACAUAAUCAAUUCUAUUUCCCUUUCAUGGGAUAGAUGAUGGAAUUUCCGCAAAUUCGAUUAGGAUGAAGAAGCCCACGUAGCAGUUGUGAGUUUUUCACGGACUGACUCGUACAUUAUCGUUCUCAGCACCUCAAUAGAGGGUUCCACUUCUUAUGGAAAAAGUUCAAAAAAAAAAUCAGAACUAUGUUGUAUUUACAAAAUAUACAAGUUAUUUGGUUAUACAUUACAAUUUCUUUAAUUAUUUUUUGGAUUCAAUAUUUUUGGAGUUUGAUUCAGUAAAAAGUUGGACAGUGUAUAAAAUUUCGUAAAAGAAACUUUUUUUUAUAUUUAUUAUUAUUAUUAUUAAUAUUUUAAAGAAACUAAAUACACUAUAAGAAAUAAUAUUUAUACAAACUCAGAACCACAUAUAUGCAUAAUGCAUAUUACAACUCAGAGCAAUUUUAUUAGUCAUAAAAAAAAAAAAAAAAACAAUGAAGGCAUUCUUGUUGUAAUAUAUAAUACAAUAAUACUCAUACUCAAAAGUCAAAACAUUCAUGUGCUUGACUUCACAAUUGACAAUUGCCUUCCUAUUAUUUUCCUACAUGCCUUAAGGUCUUUCUCUAAAAUUACAAACUACUGACAUAUUACACCAGAAUAACUUAAGCCAACAAUGAAGUUAGAUUAAUAGAUAUUGUAAUGGAAGUCACUAAGUAGUAAUAACAUGUUACAACACAAAGGUAAAGCCAAAGAUUAAUGUUAGUGUUAUAGGAAAAUUCAGUUAGCUCAACCUCUAUAUGGAAAAGCCUAAGAAAGCUUAAAAAGCUUAAAGGUCGAGCUAUAGUCAGAGAACUCAGAAAGCUACAGAGGAUAGCAGAAGAAGAUGGACCACUGCACAACUAAAAAAUUUGGGAAGAAUUUUGUAAUAGCCUGUAUUUUUUAAUAUACCUAUAUAACAAAACAUGGAAAACUUAAGAAAUUAUAUGAACUUUUACAACUUACACAAUUCAACGGAAGCAAUUUAUUACAAACAAUUGUUAUGUCAAACUAUUCACUACCCUUUAUUGAACCUUCUACCUCAAAAGGGAGAAUACAAGUCAAUUAACGCUAACCUAAACACAAUUUAACUAACAAAAUUUCUCUGAUGCUCUACCAAGAUGUCACCAAGCUCUUAAGAAAAAACAAUUCAACUGCCAGAGUCAUGUCUGAUCAUGAAGGCUUUAAUACUGUUUUCACUCAUGAAAUGCACUGUUAUGAGACAGCAUAGUAUUCCUCAAGACCGAUGAAUGAAAAAGGACAACAAAAUCUUUCAUUUAAACUUCUUUAUUGGCCAAUGCAAUAUUGCUACUUUUACCUCUGGAAGAAGCUAAUAUGACAUCUGGUCUAGGUUUCCUUAUAACUUUGUUCAUAAGGUGAAGGUACCGAUGCCUCAUCCCCAAAAAAAUCCUUCUUAUAAGCCUCCCGAAGAACUACAGUUUGUGUUCUAAUCUUGUUUGAGACAUAAAAUAUACCUGGGUGAUGAACUAUGGCUUUCUUAAACCUAUAACCAAACCCCAAAUAGUCUCCCAAGCAGAAGAUGUUCUCCUUUUCGGUUUUCUUCGAGAUCGUAAGAUAAAGCAACUCAUGGAGAACAGCCACAACCCAUUUCUCAGCUUGGUCCGUAUUUGGUGCUAGAUGGAAUGCAUUUUCAUAGGGCGAAAUGUAAGGCAAAUCCUGCCACUCCUCCACCCAAUUCAUCACUUUCUUUUGCAAAUCAAAACCCCUCGGGAAACUCAUUGGAAAUGGAAUAUGAUUUAUUUUCCUUCUCCCAAAAUUUCCUUCCAGAGAUUCCCUUUUCUUCAAUUCAGAGACUGCAAGGUCUUUCCUCCAAGAAAGUAGCUCUAAUGCAAGAGGUUGUUCACCUGUUAAACAGUCUUUCACACUACAAACUUGAAAAUAUUCAGGAUAACCAGCAAGAAGGAUUGGAAUGAACCUAUAGGGUAAACCCAAAUCCCAUUGCAACCUCUCAAUAACAUAUAGGGGAAAUUUUCCAACCCCUAUGAGCAUCAAUAGUUUUGCUAACCUCUUCACAACAUCAUCUCUAUGCAAUCGAGAGUUAUGAAUGGUUGAUUCUUCCUUGUGGAGAAGUAAAGCUUGUGAGGUGAUUUUGACAUGAGGAUGGAGACCAAGACUAGGCUGGAAUUGGAUGAAAACAUAAGGGUAUAACUCGAAGAACUUGGAGAUGGUGGUAGUGGGAACUUUAAGGUUCUGAUUAAGCAAAAAGACAAGAAGAAAGUGGAACAGAUGUUAAAGGACUCGAAAUUAUUAUAUUCUUAAGGGAAAUUACUUGUUUGAGGUUUUUCUCUCUUUGAACUGCAAAAUCAAGGUAUGGAUCUCUAACCCAUUUGACCUUUGCAUCAAUGAAAGCACAAAUCUGGGUGAAACGAUGAGGGAUUAUAGUAAUUUGUAGAAUCAUAAGCAAGAAAGGUUAGAAAACAUUGUCUAGAUUGGGAAAUAGAAAUGGCUGACAAUGGGAAUCGAGAAGGCUAAACUCACCAAAUUAGACAAGAGUUUGUAAAGAUCAAAUAAUCAAAGGAAACGAAAAUUCAACUUAGACUCUGCUUGGUGGCUGCUUCAGAAUAGAGUCACCCUAACUACCCUUUAAAACUAUCACCUGAUUUUCCAUCUGAAAACACUUUGAAAUCAAAGAUUAGUACAAAAAUACUCAAUAAGAAAUUCUCAUAUCAAGCUUUGAAAUUCACAGAACUUUCUGUCAAAAUUUUUCUAGAAAGAAAACUUUCAAAAUCAAAAUAUUGCAAGCAAAUAAGUUUUAAAACCUAAAUGCUUCAAGCUGAAACUCCUAUAAUGAAUGGUAUUUUCAUACUUUUUAUAACACUAAUAUUUCAAUACUUUCAAAUGAAAAUUCUUCAAUCGGUAAAAAGAACUUUCGAUCAACAAAUACAUCCAUACAAACAAAACUUUCAAUCAUUCAGUUCAAAUACAAAGUAGGAAAAAUGCAUAGCUCAUGUAGCCCAGCAGGUAUGGCUACCCCUUGGUAAGAUCAACAGUUCAUUCAAUCCGAGAUGUCAAUUAACAAUCGACCACAUAUGAAUCGCCAUUUAAAGCAUGCAAACAAUUUUGAAACUAAUUACCUCGAUCGACAAUCAUCCUUGAAAAUUCACUUCCUUGGACAAAGAUUAACAACUAUUGAACUUCCACGAGUGACACUUAUCCCUAAGCCAAAAAUGCCGCCGCAGUCGGAAACACACACCCAGUCAUUGAAAACGUGAUCUAGAACUUGUUGUUCGUUCAUGCUGGAGUCUCAAACGAAGAAGAAACAAUGCUCCUGAAGCCGUACAGAGUGAAUGUAGACCGUCGUCGACUACAGAGCUGGGCGUUCGGUGGGUGUGGCCGCUGGAGUGUCGCCGGAGAAGAGGGUCGGCGGCUAUUUGAUAGAGAAAGGAAGACGACUGAUGAGGCUAGUGUCACGUGGUUAAAGUCUGAAGCUAACCAUACGUGCGGCACUUGGCUAACUACAAUGCCCACGUAGCCAAGUAAGCCUUUUGAGGAAGGGGUAGUGCGCCAAGCACUACACCAAUGUGUUGCAGCGAAAUUAAUUGGGUUGGUUCCAAGACACGAGAGAGGUUGGAAGGAUAAGGGAGUUUGGAUGGAUACGUCUUGGGAAUGAUAUACUGCAUUCCAAGAAUAGAUUAAUACACAUUUG
rnacentral:lncRNA from 1 species